rnacentral:rRNA from 1 species
UACGUAGGGUGCAAGCGUUAAUCGGAAUUACUGGGCGUAAAGGGCGCGUAGGCGGCCGCCUAAGUCAGACGUGAAAUCCCUCGGCUCAACCGGGGAACUGCGUCUGAUACUGGGUGGCUUGAAUUCGGGAGAGGUUUGUGGAAUUCCCGGUGUAGUGGUGAAAUGCGUAGAGAUCGGGAGGAACACCUGUGGCGAAGGCGGCC